rnacentral:antisense_RNA from 1 species
UGGCGCUUGAGGCUUUUUGCCUCAUAAAGUCGGUAAGUGUUGUGAGGCAGAAAAAAGAAAGCCCCGAAGGUCAUUUUAUUAACCAACGAGGCUCACUCCUAUGUCAGACAACAUCAGGAUAGCCUCUUACCCGCCGCAAGGCAAGGAGAAGAAGGCCAUG